CCACCAUCUUGUAAUAACACUUAUAUAUCCGCUUUGCAGUUUAUUUAACUAGCAUAUUAUACAUUCAACUGUUUUAUGGACACAUUUAUUUCCCCUGAACUGUAUAAAGUGCUAGAAGAUGCUAUCAUGUACUUGUCUGCGCCCCACUUCCCUGUUUACAGAUGGGUGAUUUUAUUACUGAAAAAGUCACAGAGUGCCUGCUGGUUCUCUUCAACAUGGAUUGCGGGUCAGUGACAUGCUGAAAGCACAACUGAAUAACAGCAUCGUAUUGUUCAGCCAGUAAGAAAGUCUGCCCCACCACUCCUACUCUAACUGCUGUAACCAAUAGGACCUUUCUGAUUCACCACUCAGAUCUUUUUUAGAUCAACACAGCUGAUCUCAACCGGAACAUGAAUGUUCACACAAAAAAACCCAAGUCUCCAAGCAUCUCGUGCUCAUUUUGACUAAGCAAAUUCUGAGCAAAGAAGUGAAAUGAUAUGAUUACCCUUGACGUUCCAGGAAGACUUGCUCCUCCUAUGUCCUCUUCCACACCUAGUGUUUCAGAUGGCUUGCACAGAAUCACAAUCAGCAUAUGAGGGUUCAAUUAAUGAUUCAGGAGUCAAAAAAAGAAUAGCUGUUCUCCUUGCAUCUCCAGGAGAGAGGGGAGGAGCAGUAAACAGAGGCAUAAAUAUAAAGCAUUCUAUAACAUC